UCUUGGUCAGGACGAACGCUGGCGGCGUGCCUAAUACAUGCAAGUCGAACGGUCUUUCUAUGGAAGCUUGCUUCCACUGAGAAGAUAGUGGCGAACGGGUGAGUAACACGUGGGUAACCUGCCCAUAAGAGGGGGAUAACAUCCGGAAACGGGUGCUAAUACCGCAUAGUUUUCUUGAUCGCAUGAUUGAGAAAGGAAAGACGGCCUUUGUGCUGUCGCUUAUGGAUGGACCCGCGGCGUAUUAGUUAGUUGGUGAGGUAACGGCUCACCAAGACGAUGAUACGUAGCCGACCUGAGAGGGUGAUCGGCCACAUUGGGACUGAGACACGGCCCAAACUCCUACGGGAGGCAGCAGUAGGGAAUCUUCCGCAAUGGACGAAAGUCUGACGGAGCAACGCCGCGUGAGUGAAGAAAGGUUUUCGGAUCGUAAAACUCUGUUGUCAGAGAAGAACAAGUUGGAGAGUAACUGCUCCAGCCUUGACGGUAUCUGACCAGAAAGCCACGGCUAACUACGUGCCAGCAGCCGC
rnacentral:rRNA from 1 species